UACGGAGGGAGCUAGCGUUGUUCGGAAUUACUGGGCGUAAAGGGCUUGUAGGUGGCCAACUAAGUCAGACGUGAAAUCCCUCGGCUUAACCGGGGAACUGCGUCUGAUACUGGAUGGCUUGAGUGUGGGAGAGGGAUGCGGAAUUCCAGGUGUAGCGGUGAAAUGCGUAGAUAUCUGGAGGAACACCGGUGGCGAAGGCGGCAUCCUGGACCAUUACUGACACUGAAAAGCGAAAGCCAGGGGAGCAAACGGG
rnacentral:rRNA from 1 species